UACGGGGGGAGCAAGCGUUGUUCGGAUUUACUGGGCGUAAAGGGCGCGUAGGCGGCCUCUGCAAGUCGACUGUGAAAUCUCCGGGCUUAACCCGGAAAGGUCAGCCGAUACUGCAGGGCUAGAGUGCAGAAGGGGCAACUGGAAUUCUCGGUGUAGCGGUGAAAUGCGUAGAUAUCGAGAGGAACACCUGCGGCGAAGGCGGGUUGCUGGGCUGACACUGACGCUGAAGCGCGAAAGCGUGGGGAGCAAACAGG
rnacentral:rRNA from 1 species